rnacentral:rRNA from 1 species
UCAAGUGAAUAAGCGCAUACGGUGGAUGCCUAGGCAGUAAGAGGCGAAGAAGGACGUUGUAGCAUGCGAAAAGCCGCGGAUAGAUUGCAAACUAUCAUUAACCUGCGGAUAUCCGAAUGGGGCAACCCAGCUCACAUAAGUGAGUUAUCCUACACUGAAUACAUAGGUGUAGAGAAGCGAACCGGGAGAACUGAAACAUCUAAGUACCCCGAGGAAAAGAAAUCAACCGAGAUUCCCUAAGUAGCGGCGAGCGAACGGGGAUUAGCCCUUAAGCUACUAUAUAAGUGAGUGGAACGCUCUGGAAAGUGCGGCGAUACAGGGUGAUAGCCCCGUACACGGAAACUUAAUAAUAGUGAAAACGAGUAGGUCGGAGCACGAGAAACUUUGACUGAACAAGGGGGGACCAUCCUCCAAGGCUAAAUACUCCUUACUGACCGAUAGUGAACCAGUACCGUGAGGGAAAGGCGAAAAGAACCGAGGAGAUCGGAGUGAAAUAGAUCCUGAAACCGUAUGCGUACAAGCAGUGGGAGCAGACUUGUUCUGUGACUGCGUACCUUUUGUAUAAUGGGUCAGCGACUUACAUUUUGUGGCAAGCUUAACCGAAUAGGGGAGGCGUAGCGAAAGCGAGUCUUAAUAGGGCGUUCAGUCGCAAGGUGUAGACCCGAAACCGGGCGAUCUAUCCAUGGCCAGGUUGAAGGUGGGGUAAUACCUACUGGAGGACCGAACCCACUUAUGUUGAAAAAUGAGGGGAUGAGCUGUGGAUUGGAGUGAAAGGCUAAUCAAGCCCGGAGAUAGCUGGUUCUCCUCGAAAGCUAUUUAGGUAGCGCCUCGUGUAUAACUGUUGGGGGUAGAGCACUGUUUCGGCUAGGGGGUCAUCCCGACUUACCAACCCGAUGCAAACUCCGAAUACCAACAAGUUUUAGCAUGGGAGACACACGGCGGGUGAUAAGGUCCGUUGUGGAAAGGGAAACAGCCCAGACCGUCAGCUAAGGUCCCCAAACACUGCUCAGUGGAAAACGAUGUGAAAAGGCUCAGACAGCCAGGAGGUUGGCUUAGAAGCAGCCAUCCUUUAAAGAAAGCGUAAUAGCUCACUGGUCGAGUCGGUUUGCGCGGAAGAUUUACCGGGGCUAAGUAGUGUACCGAAGCUACGGAUGCGUAUUUAUACGCAUGGUAGAGGAGCGUUCUGUACGCCUGCGAAGGUUGACUGAGAAGUUAGCUGGAGGUAUCAGAAGUGCGAAUGCUGACAUGAGUAACGAUAAAGGGGGUGAAAAACCCCCUCGCCGAAAACCCAAGGUUUCCUGCGCAACGCUAAUCGACGCAGGGUUAGUCGGUACCUAAGGCGAGGCCGAAAGGCGUAGUCGAUGGAAAACAGGUUAAUAUUCCUGUACUUAAUAUAACUGCGAUGGGGUGACGGAGAAGGUUAGAUCAGCAAGCGGUUGGACAUGCUUGUUUAAGCUUGUAGGGAGAGUGUUUAGGUAAAUCCGGGCACUUGUUAAUCCUGAGGAGUGAUGACGAAACUCCCUUUUAAGGGAAAGAAGUGAUUGAUACCCUGCUUCCAAGAAAAACCUCUAAGCAUCAGGUUAUAUUGAGCCGUACCCCAAACCAACACAGGUGGGUGGGAUGAGAAUUCUAAGGCGCUUGAGAGAACUCGGCUGAAGGAACUAGGCAAAAUGGUACCGUAACUUCGGGAGAAGGUACGCCCUUGGUAUGUGAAAGUCCUUGCGGCUGGAGCAGAAGAGGGUAGCAUUAAACUGGUGGCUGCGACUGUUUAGCAAAAACAUAGCACUGUGCAAACACGAAAGUGGACGUAUACGGUGUGACGCCUGCCCGGUGCUGGAAGGUUAAUUGAUGGGGUUAUCCUACCUCCAGAUUAUUUUCAAGAUCAAAGCGAAAGUAUUUUUUAUGAAGGAAUUUAGAUAAAGUAAAUGCCUGAAUAAAAACAAUGGAUUCAACGCUGAGAUUGAGAAUAAUGUGGUGGUAGGAGAAGCUCUUGAUCGAAGCCCCAGUAAACGGCGGCCGUAACUAUAACGGUCCUAAGGUAGCGAAAUUCCUUGUCGGGUAAGUUCCGACCUGCACGAAUGGCGUAACGACGGCCACACUGUCUCCAGCCGAGACUCAGUGAAAUUGAAAUUGCGGUGAAGAUGCCGUAUACCCGCGGCUAGACGGAAAGACCCCGUGCACCUUUACUAUAGCUUUACACUGGACUUUGAACCUACCUGUGUAGGAUAGGUGGGAGACUUAGAAGCGGCAUCGCCAGAUGUUGUGGAGUUACCCUUGAAAUACCACCCUGGUAUGUUUAAAGUUCUAACCUAGGCCCGUUAUCCGGGUUGGGGACAGUGUAUGGUGGGUAGUUUGACUGGGGCGGUCUCCUCCCAAAGAGUAACGGAGGAGCACGAAGGUACCCUAAUCCUGGUCGGAAAUCAGGAGAUUAGUGCAAUGGCAUAAGGGUGCUUGACUGCGAGACGGACAAGUCGAGCAGGUACGAAAGUAGGUCAUAGUGAUCCGGUGGUUCUGAAUGGAAGGGCCAUCGCUCAACGGAUAAAAGGUACGCCGGGGAUAACAGGCUGAUACCGCCCAAGAGUUCAUAUCGACGGCGGUGUUUGGCACCUCGAUGUCGGCUCAUCACAUCCUGGGGCUGAAGCAGGUCCCAAGGGUAUGGCUGUUCGCCAUUUAAAGUGGUACGCGAGCUGGGUUCAGAACGUCGUGAGACAGUUCGGUCCCUAUCUGCCGUGGGCGUUUGAGAUUUGAGGGAAGCUGCUUCUAGUACGAGAGGACCGGAGUGGACGUUCCGCUGGUGUUCGGGUUGUCAUGCCAAUGGCAUUGCCCGGUAGCUACGAACGGACAGGAUAAGCGCUGAAAGCAUCUAAGCGCGAAGCCCCUCCCAAGAUGAGAUCUCACUGGAUAUUUAAUAUCCCUGAAGGGCCCUUGGAGACUACAAGGUUGAUAGGUCAGGUGUGGAAGCGCAGUAAUGUGUGUAGCUAACUGAUACUAAUUGCCCGUGAGGCUUGACCAU